UGGACACCCCUGAUCUAGGACGUGUUUUAUGCCACUUAUUUUUCUGUCUCAUUUUGUCCAACAAACUUUUAAUGUUGUGCAUGAAUGCACAAAGUGGCACAUAGGGAUGAUGCACAAACAAGUAUGUCCGUGUCUUCGAAGCAGCGACAGAGACAACGAAGAACGCCCCUCUUCUUCUGCCAGCUGCCCCUGUCCCAGCUACAGUGGCGGUGACGCCGGCUUGACACGUUAAAGACGUCUUUGCCGGUUUGAAUGCUUUUGUAAGAGCGGCACACAGAUUGGAGCAUGGAGAAGUGGUCCUCCUCCCUGUCACAACCUUCUGCCUCCGAGCUGCCAAAACCAUCUUCCUCCCAGCUGACGCUCCACGUUGGCUUUGGCCUGUCUCCUCAUUGUUUGCACCACAUUCAUUACCUCUGAAGGGCUGCUUUUGUGCAAAAAAAAAACUGUUAUAAACUCUAUAC